UACGUAGGGGGCGAGCGUUAUCCGGAAUUAUUGGGCGUAAAGAGCUCGUAGGCGGUUUGUCGCGUCUGCCGUGAAAGUCCGGGGCUCAACUCCGGAUCUGCGGUGGGUACGGGCAGACUAGAGUGAUGUAGGGGAGACUGGAAUUCCUGGUGUAGCGGUGAAAUACGCAGAUAUCAGGAGGAACACCGAUGGCGAAGGCAGGUCUCUGGGCAUUAACUGACGCUGAGGAGCGAAAGCAUGGGGAGCGAACAGG
rnacentral:rRNA from 1 species